UGAAUUAGGAGCAGCAUACUGGUGAAAGUCAUACUUUGCACUAAAAUUGUCCUUCUCUGACUUCCAGGUGACCAAAACUAACCAAGUCUCUCUGAGAUGAUCUGCUGCCUCCACUGAGCUUGGGAACAGCAAGUGCAAACAAUUUAGAAAAGAAUGGCUUCAAACCCUACCCAGAGCCAAGUCUCUGGGCUUUAGAUGAAGAGGAGAGCAAGGUACCUCUGAAAAAUGAAUGGGGGUGAGUAUUAAACAACCUAGUCUUGGACUCUCAACUGAGGAAUGAGGUGGGUUUAGGCUUUUUGAAGCUUUGGCUUUCACUACAUUGUGUAAGGUGGCAGCAUGCAUGUAAAAUCCUUGUAUACUUUUCAAAAGUCAGCGAAG
rnacentral:lncRNA from 1 species